rnacentral:rRNA from 1 species
AGUCAGUAGGAGUAGACCCGAAACCGGGUGAUCUAUCCAUGUCCAGGUUGAAGCUGCCGUAAGAGGUAGUGGAGGACCGAACCCACAUCCGUUGAAAAGGGUGGGGAUGAGGUGUGGAUAGGGGAGAAAUUCCAAUCGAACCCGGAGAUAGCUGGUUCUCCUCGAAAUAGCUUUAGGGCUAGCCUCGAUACAGAUUUGCGGAGGUAGAGCACUGAAUUUCCUAGGGGGCGUCAAAGCCUACCGAAGAAUAUCAAACUCCGAAUGCCGCGUAAUCGAUUAUCGGGAGUCAGACUGCACGAGAUAAGUUGGGCGGUCAAAAGGGAAAGAGCCCAGACCUUCAGUUAAGGUCCCCAAGUGCGCGUUAAGUGGAAAAGGAUGUGGGAUUUCGAAGACAACCAGGAUGUUGGCUCAGAAGCAGCCAUCCAUUCAAAGAGUGCGUAAUAGCUCACUGGUCGAGAGGUCCUGCGCCGAAAAUGUCCGGGGCUGAAACGCGCCACCGAAACUAAGGAACCGAAAGGUUGGUAGAGGAGCAUUGCAUGCGGGAAGAAGCAGUACCGUAAGGAGCUGUGGACUGCAUGGAAGAGAGAAUGCCGGAAUGAGUAGCGAGAAUAAGGUGAGAAUCCUUAUGGCCGAAUAUCCAAGGUUUCCAGAGUAAAGCUGAUCUGCUCUGGGUAAGUCGGGGCCUAAGGCGAGGACGAGAGUCGUAGCCGAUGGACAACAGGUGGAGAUUCCUGUACUGCGGUAUGACAGAACUGUGGGGACACGUAAGGAAAGCGGAAGCCGGGAAUGGAAAGCCCGGUGCAAGCGGGGUACCAGUCACUUUGGCAAAUCCGGGUGGCAAUGGGAAGCCGUGAUGCGGAGCGAAAUAAAGUAGCGAAGUCCGUGAGCCAUGCGUCAAGAAAAGCCGCUAUCGUUUAUACCGUACCCGUACCGUAAACCGACACAGGUGGAUGAGGAGAGAAUCCUAAGGCCGGCGGAAGAAGCAUUGUCAAGGAACUCGGCAAAAUGGCCCCGUAACUUAGGGAUAAGGGGUGCCUGGGAAACCAGGCCGCAGAGAAUAGGCUCAAGCAACUGUUUAGCAAAAACACAGGUCUAUGCGAAACCGAAAGGUGAGGUAUAUGGGCUGACGCCUGCCCGGUGCUGGAAGGUUAAGAGGAGAGGUUAGCGGUAACGCGAAGCUUUGAAUUUAAGCCCCAGUAAACGGCGGCCGUAACUAUAACGGUCCUAAGGUAGCGAAAUUCCUUGUCGGGUAAGUUCCGACCCGCACGAAAGGCGUAAUGAUUUGAGCGCUGUCUCGACAAUGCAUCCGGUGAAAUUGAAGUACCAGUGAAGAUGCUGGUUACCUGCGCCAGGACGGAAAGACCCCAUGGAGCUUUACUCCAGUCUGGUACUGGGACUCGGUAUUGCAUGUACAGGAUAGGUGGGAGGCUAGGAGAUGGUAACGCCAGUUGCCAUGGAGCCGCUGUUGGGAUACCACCCUUGCAGUAUUGGGUUUCUAACCAGCCGCCGUGACCCGGCGGUGGGACAAUGCCAGACGGGGAGUUUGACUGGGGCGGUCGCCUCCGAAAGGGUAUCGGAGGCGCCCAAAGGUUCCCUCAGAAUGGACGGAAACCAUUCGAAGAGUGCAAAGGCAGAAGGGAGCUUGACUGCGACACCGACGGGUGGAGCAGGUACGAAAGUAGGGCUUAGUGAUCCGGUGGUAUUAAGUGGGAAUGCCAUCGCUCAACGGAUAAAAGCUACCCUGGGGAUAACAGGCUUAUCACUCCCAAGAGUUCACAUCGACGGAGUGGUUUGGCACCUCGAUGUCGGCUCAUCGCAUCCUGGGGCUGUAGUAGGUCCCAAGGGUUGGGCUGUUCGCCCAUUAAAGCGGUACGCGAGCUGGGUUCAGAACGUCGUGAGACAGUUCGGUCCCUAUCCGGCGUGGGCGUAGGAUAUCUGAGAGGAGCUGUCCUUAGUACGAGAGGACCGGGAUGGACGGGCCGCUGGUGCAUCGGUUAGACUGCCAAGUCUACGGCCGAGUAGCCAAGCCCGGAAGGGAUAAACGCUGAAGGCAUCUAAGCGUGAAGCCCCCCUUAAGAUGAGAUAUCCCAUUCG